rnacentral:tRNA from 1 species
GGUUAUGGCUCAGCGGUAUAGCGCUCACCUCGCAUGUGCAAGGCCCUGGGUUCGAUCCUCAGCACCA